CUGUCUUAGGACAACAGAAGUAAAGAAUCUACCUGCAAAGCAGGAGACCCAGGUUCAGUCCCUGGGUCAGGAAGAUCUCCUGGAGAAGGAAAUGGGAAGCCACUCCAGUAUUCUCACCUGGAAAAUCCCGUGAACAGAGGGGUCUGGUGGGCUCCAGUCUAUACAGACACAAUGAGCCAUUAACACUUCUCACCUGGUGAGGCAAAGAGGAACUUUUUUUAGUAAGAACAGCCGCCUCCACUUUAUCCAUGGGCAGAGCACAUAAACUCCAGAAGUGCACAUAAGCUCCUGUAGGGAAUGCUAGAGGGGUCGUCCUCUUUCUAUAACUUCAGGGAGGAAGUGUCAAUGGCCCUGAAAGGGGCUUUUGUGGAACUGGUUUCACCUUCCCCCCACCUAGGCCCUGGGAACCCAACACUGUCGCUGGCAGAUGAGUGGGGUCAGGGCGCCCCAGAGAAGAGAGAGAGCUGUGUGCUGCCCGGUUCCUCUUCUGAGUCAACGUUUUCAGAAGUUCUCUUCUGCUCUGCAAUGGGCCAAAGUCAGCCAGCAGGAAAGGGAACCAGGAAAGGAAACCGAUGCCGUGAGGGGUGGGAGUCUGAACUGGUGACCCAGCCUCAGUACACGUACAGGCCUAAAGGGUCACAGGAAAAGACAGCUUUGGCCUGAGCCAUUCACAUGGGCAUGGAGGCUGUUCUUUGGGACCGAGGGCCGAGCACAUCUGAGUCUUGCUUCAUGCUUUGGCUAGCAAGUCUCCUUCAUGAGUAUUUCCCCAGCACCCAGACCAGUGGUGGAAAAUGGGAGGAAUUCAAUCACUAUUCCUGUGGACAGGCCACCUGCCAACUGCCCCGGAAUCAUCAUCCAGCCCUUUUAUUCAACUGACCAGGAAACUGAAGCCCUCAAAAUCUGAGUGACUUUUCCACAUCACAUGGCCAACCAGUGGCAGAACCAGCCUAGAAACGGGACCCUCAGACCCCCAGAGUCUUCACCACUACCGCCCCCCUCCACCAUGCCUCACACCCACCUGAAGUCCCCAUGGCCCCCACUCAUUGAUUUUCUAUCUGAUCCAAGAUAUACCUGGGGAAAUAGUUCAGGGACUGAUUUUUUUAAGAUGAAUAUUACAUUUUGGUGCAGAGGAAGCGAGCCUCUGAAACAAGCUAGUCAUUUCAAUACCAGAGCUAUUUUUAACCACCUUGGAUCUUUGUCAUCUCCAGCACCCAGUUCUGUGAAUAUUGCUGACAGAAUGGCACCACACUGGGCCUGAGAUGGCAGGCCCAGUCUAUGAUCCAGUUUUCCGAACUCUAUUCAAUCAUGAAAAGCUAGCAAAACUGGAACACGUGAUUGGGGCUGAUUUCCUGUAAGCACUCCCUAAUUAGUGAGAAGAGGCAUGGUGACAAUCCUUGUGGCUGGGUUUUGUUUUUUUUCAGUUUUACACUAGAAAAAAAGACUUUCUGUUUCAGACAAGGUCAAACAGUCCCAAGAAGA
ensembl:lncRNA